AUUUUAUUUUGGAACCGAGGGAGGGAGUACAACUCUUUGUUGAACAGCUUUAGGGUUUGGACUUCGGUGACCAAAGGGGCUGGCGAGCAACAUAACAAUAGAUCAGUAGACACGAUGAGCAGUGAAACUCUCCGCCUGAAGCAUCUUUCUGCAAAUUGGCGAGACACCGAAAUGUUAAUCUGCUCUACUUUAGGCCCUUUCGUUUUUAUUAACGCACAUGGCAAAAGACCACAAGUUAAAACUGGAUGCUAGCUGUUUUUCACCCCCAAGAUGAACAAAGACAUGAUGCAGGUAAACUAGCUAAAAGUUGCAGUUAUAUCAGGUCCUGUUUAGCGAUCUAUAUAUGUUCUUGCAAAAGUUUCCGGGUUUAAGGGAUCAACUGGCUCUGAAAGAUAAAAAAGUUCAUGUGACUGAAAUAGCAAAAGCUGAGAGAACCAAUUAAGGCAUGAUGCUGUUUCAAAAUGCUGGUCAUACUAUAGAUCCGUACGUAUUCUGCAGCGUGCAUGUGCAUGCAUAGAUAAAAAAAUCAGGUCAAGAACAUUGUGUGCUGCUGAUUGUUUCCAGAGAAACUGGCACGCUAUACUGCCCUUUCAAACAGAAAAUGCUAGGAAUGGAGCAUGCAUGGACACUGAAACACAGCUACAUGCAUAUGACAAAGGUCGUGUCUAACCUCUUGAUUGGUUGCCGGCAGCCGCCGAGGAGCGUAAAAUAGAUUUGCUUGCACCCGCACAUUCCGGGCGCAGCCGUGCAGCCAACCAAUCAGAAAUGCAGGCGCAGUCAACACUCGUGAGGAGCCUAGGCGUUGAGAGCUGGGCAACCAAUCACACGGUAAUUGUAUGCACCCAUGCACAGGUCGAGGAGGCUCCUGUGUCUAAUUGUGUGCAGCAAGUCAAAGAGUCUCGAUUGAGCCUAGCAUGAGCAAUAGGGGCCACUCAGGCUAGCCAAGGAGACUGCCUACGAACCAACACAAAGGUCCACAAUUCUGAUCCUUUGUAAACAAAGGACAUAGGCAAGUCAUCCUUGGCUAUCAGAGGCAGGCCCUUAUUGACAUGUAAGGCUUCUGCUCUGCUUGUCACCUCUAGCUAGCUUGGUAGCUUCUGUGACUGGUCUGUUGUGCUCCUUCCAUGGAACAUCUAUUUAUACAUGUAUCUCGUAGAGAGAACCGUAUCAUUUUUUCCUUUUUUUUGUUGUUGUUCCAGGACAUCUUAUUCUCUAAUUGGAUAGCAG
rnacentral:lncRNA from 1 species